CGAAAAUGUAAAUGUAUGGCUGCAUGUAAUUUUUUACCAGGAGAAGUGAAACAUAGUUAAUAUUUCUUGCCGGCGGGUUGAUGUAUGAAUGAUGCACGGCCAACUGGACUUAGAAUUUUUGUACAUUAAUAUGCACAAAGGGGGGAACGAUUAAGAUGGCCGCAAAUUUGAAGUUAUUGAUUGCCGUAAUGUCGGAUUGAAAUCGGAAUUUGAUUUGACAUGAAUAUCAUCCAAAAAAGGAUCGAGCCACCGAAGCGGGGUCCAAAAGAAAAAUAUCCGGCUCGAAGGACCAAAAAUGAACGUAGAGGGCGAUGGCCGAGUCCUCUGGAGGGUCCUGGAAGGUGCACAGGUCCUGUAGUUGAAUGACGAGUCGUAGGUGUUUCGGUGGUUGGUAGGGGUGUGGGCGCAACACUUUUAUUCACUAUGAAAAUCGAACUAACUAUUCUAACUUAUUCUAAUGCUAUUGAGAGCGCAGUGGAGACUUCAUGGAGACUUCGUGGUGGGGAAAAGGGAAGCUGGGUGAGAGCGGA